rnacentral:rRNA from 1 species
UACGGAGGGUGCAAGCGUUAUCCGGAUUUAUUGGGUUUAAAGGGUGCGUAGGCGGUCUUAUAAGUCAGUGCUGAAAUAUCCCGGCUUAACCGGGAGGGUGGCAUUGAUACUGUAGGACUUGAGUAAAGUUGAGGUUGGCGGAAUUGACGGUGUAGCGGUGAAAUGCUUAGAUAUCGUCAAGAACACCUAUAGCGAAGGCAGCUAACUAAACUUUAACUGACGCUGAGGCACGAAAGUGUGGGGAUCAAACAGG